GGGUGAAGAAGAGCUGCAGCAAGAGCAAGAGCAGAGUGAGGGAGUGAAGAACCAGAAAGAACAGAAAGCCAGAUACAGUGAUGACUUCAUUUCCAGCCACUACCAGCUGGGUGAUCUGCUGGGUGAAGGUGGAUUUGGUUCUGUGUAUGAGGCGAGACGUUUGGAGGAUGACCUUAAAGUGGCGGUCAAAUAUGUUAAUAAGACCAAAAACUACAGGGAAAGUUUAUACAUU